UACAGCCAUAUCAUGUUAAUACACCAGUUCUUGUCUGAUCAGCAAAGCUAAGCAAUGUCACACCUGGUCAGUACUGAGAUGGGUGAUCAGUUGGAAAUAUCAGGUGUC